rnacentral:rRNA from 1 species
UACGAAGGGGGCUAGCGUUGUUCGGAAUUACUGGGCGUAAAGCGCGCGCAGGCGGUUCUUCAAGUCAGAGGUGAAAGCCCAGAGCUCAACUCUGGAAUGGCCUUUGAGACAGAGAACUAGGGUACGGGAGAGGUGAGUGGAAUUCCGAGUGUAGAGGUGAAAUUCGUAGAUAUUCGGAAGAACACCAGUGGCGAAGGCGGCUCACUGGCCCGUUACCGACGCUCAGGCGCGACAGCGUGGGGAGCAAACAGG